AAACUUUCAACAACGGAUCUCUUGGUUCUGGCAUCGAUGAAGAACGCAGCGAAAUGCGAUAAGUAGUGUGAAUUGCAGAAUUCAGUGAAUCAUCGAAUCUUUGAACGCACAUUGCGCCCUUGGUAUCCG
rnacentral:rRNA from 1 species